rnacentral:tRNA from 1 species
CGGGCUGUGGCGCAGCUUGGUUAGCGCGCCUGCUUUGGGAGCAGGAGGUCGUCGGUUCAAAUCCGACCAGCCCGA